UUGACUGGGUGCUUGCUCUCUGGGUGAGUCGCGCGAUCGAUCGCUGCGCCGCCACCGCGCAUGCGUCGCGCCGCCCGCCAUCUUGAGGUCGCGACCAUAGAUAAGGAAUUAAGAAUAUUUUUCAUCAGAAGUGAUUUCAAACUUAAUCACAAUAAUCACAUCACAAAUACUAUUAUACAUUUUUGGUUAAAAAUAGUCCUGUGUAUCAAUAGAACACAACUGCAGUAAGUAGCUACAGAUAUACGUCAACAUCUGCACAUUUCAUUUUGUUUACGUAAGAGUGUUCACUUGUCCAAAUGUAUAAAGGAAAAAGCCGGCGCUGGCUGUCCCUGCACAUAGGCUUAUAAAAACUGGUAAGUCUCUUGGUGUAAUGGGUGCUAAGAUUUAUAAUAAAAUACCCGAGCCAAUCAGAACCGUUGACCCAGAUUCUGCUUUUGUUUCUAAACUUAAGAAUUAUUGCAUAAUGAAGGCCUACUAUUCGGUAAAUGAGUUCCUGGAUGAAUGAAUUCCGUCCAAAUCCCCGUUACCAUAUCAAACAUGUUCUUUUAUAGUUUAUUCUGAUAAAUGUUUUUAUUCUAAUGUAAUUGUGAUUAUUUAUAUGGUGCCUAAUUGUAAAUAGUUAAUUUGAAUUAUAUUUUAUUAUUUUCCUAAUACAUUAGAAUUUUAAAAUCGUUAUCAUUAAUAUUUACGCGAAUUGGAAUAAUUAGUUGACAUGUAUUUUAAUUUAUAAUAAUUUUGAAAUUAAUUGUGCCUAAAUUGUACCUAAUGUGACAGUGUAUGAUUAAUACCAAAUAAAAUCUAUCUAUCUAUCUAUCUAUACGAUAAUAACUUCAUUGAAACAAUCACAUUCGUAUUGCAUUAUUGAUUAUUAUUGUUAUAUCAGGUAGAGCUACACAAUCAAAAGGAACUGGCCGGCCUAAUAAUUAUGGACCUAAUGAAAUGGAAUCCAAAAAUAUGAGACAAAUUAACCUGUAACAAUUAAUUGUAAGAUAUGUAUUGUGGAUAUGAGACGACGGUAUAUGUAUUUUUUAUUUAUUUAUUCAAGGUUUACCAACAGAUACAACACUACAAAAAAUACAGAUAAAACCCCAAAAAUACAUGAGUAUGGUGCCGUGAGAUCCGAGGUUGGUUCGGAUCAGCGACGCCGCACUGUCUAUAUGACGUUGUCCGUUUCCGCUUGGAGUCCACGUGCCCCGGGAUGAAGAUGCUGGGCGAGUCCAGACGACCCGUCGCUAGUAACCUGCAAGCAAAUGCAAAUAGUUGAAAUACAGAUGCCCGCAGCGUCAUCACCACCUGCUUUGCGUCGAGCUUUGUAACUCUUUACCUGGUGAAGUCCUGUUCUAGACGCGCUGCAUUAGGCCCUGAGAAGUGCAGCAGCAGUUGGAGACAAGCCCCGCUAUGCAG